rnacentral:rRNA from 1 species
GCGGCUACUGCUAUCAGGUUUCGACUAAGCCAUGCGAGUCAAGGGGUCGUAAGACACCGGCGUACUGCUCAGUAACACGCGGACAAUCUACCCCCAGGUGGAGGAUAACCUCGGGAAACUGAGGCUAAUACCCCAUAGUUGUCAUGUGCUGGAAUGCUUUGACGAUGAAAGAAUUUCGCCUGAGGAUGAGUCUGCGGCCUAUCAGGUAGUAUGUGGUGUAAAGGACCACAUAGCCUAAGACGGGUACGGGCCUUGAAAGAGGGAGCCCGGAGAUGGACUCUGAGACACUAGUCCAGGCCCUACGGGGCGCAGCAGGCGCGAAAACUGUGCAAUGCGCGCAAGCGCGACACGGGAAGCCUGAGUGCCUUAACUAUGUUAAGGCUUUUCUUGAUCCUAAAAAGCUCAAGGAAUAAGAGCUGGGUAAGACGGGUGCCAGCCGCCGCGGUAACACCCGCGGCUCGAGUGGUAGUCACUUUUAUUGAGCCUAAAGCGUUUGUAGCCGGAUUUGUAAAUCUCUAGGAAAAUACUUCUGCUUAACUGAAGAAAUUUUGGAGAGACUGCAAAUCUAGGGACCGGGUGAGGUUGAAUGUACUUCUGGGGUAGGGGUAAAAUCCUGUAAUCCUGGAAGGACGACCGGUGGCGAAGGCGUUCAACUAGAACGGAUCCGACGGUGAGGAACGAAGGCUAGGAGAGCAAACCGGAUUAGAUACCCGGGUAGUCCUAGCUGUAAACACUGCCCACUUGGUGUUGCAUCUCCGGUAAGGGGGUGCAGUGCCGUAGCGAAGGUGUUAAGUGGGCCGCUUGGGGAGUAUGGUCGCAAGGCUGAAACUUAA